UAUCAUCCCUUGAAGCCAACCAGCUAGUAGAUAUCCUUCCCUCGCUCAAAGGUCGAGCCCUAGAUGUGGAGAAUGGAAGACGAGGGUUUGGAUCACUUGGUUGUAAUGGGAGGGCCGUCGGCCAUCGGUUCUGUCAUCAUCCUCGGCAGUGCACCAGAUUGGCUGCAUGAAGAAGAAAGGUUCGCCUUUGGAGUCAACAGCGAAGGUUCUAUCCUCGCUGACCUUUCUUAUUGUUAGCUUCGGAACGGUGCUAUCCUCGCUGAGCUUCUCCCCUCCUGAAUCCUUCUCCUCAUUUCUUCCCUUGCAAGUCUUCUUGACCUUGUAAGACCUUUUCUUGGCCUUGUAAGACCUAAUCGGUCGAUCUUCGCCGUCAUCUCCUUCUUCAUCCCAGGCUUCUUACCCGUUCUUUCGUUUCAUCUCUUCUCGCUUCCCACUUGCCCUCUUCUCCAGUCUAUCCCUCUUGAGCUAUUUAGGGUAUUUCCUUCUACUCCGUCAUCCAUGAAAAUUAGUUUUUGUAUCUUGCGUUCAGAGGAGAUAUGCCUUGCAGCCGUCUGCUUCCUUCGUCUCACAGGCUCUAAUAUUCUUCUCGUGACCAGUUGAGUUUGUCGCAAUGUACAGAGUGUUGGAUUAUUUGCGUUUCUUUUGUAUGUUAGUUUUCGCUGUAUCCACUGCAACUCUAUUCGGUAAAGGCCUUUUGGUGUGUUGUGAAA